CCUCCAGGCCAUGUGAGCCAGCAGAUACUGAGCCACCAUCUGGAUCUUGUCAGGACACUCAGCCUCUGCCAUCCUAAUUGAAUCCCGCCUUUCCCUCCCACCUGUCUUCUGCCCUACUCCCUCCCUGAAGUCAGGACAGGGCCCCAGGCAAGAGGAUUGGUCUUCAAGUCUCCCUUGGGAACCAGAGGCACUGAAGCAGAGUGUAGAGAUGGGUCUGUCCCAGGCAGAUGCCCGUCCUGUGGUGAACUGAGACCUCAGCCCCAAGGAUGGCCACAUGCCACAUCCCAUGAACCCUACUGCUGAAUAAUACCUCACUCCCCAGUCUAGACCUUCUCAGACCUGGCACCCACCCCUCUUCAAUCCCCA